UCUGAAGAAACCAAAAUUGCUAGUCACAUCUAAAAAAUCUUGGUCUGUGUUUUUGGCCUUUACUUUAACCAGCAAAUCAAUCUUUCCACGGGUUCCAAUGCUGACUUGAGUGCUGCUUUACUUCUUUUCAGAACAACUUGCUAAGCUGCUCAGUGCUCCAGAGAUGUGAUUGUGGGCUGGCAGUCCUCCAGUAUGGUUAGAAGCUUUGAUUCUCAUCAGGAAGCACUUAUUAUUCAAUAGCAAUGUUCUGGGUCAGUUUAAGAAUAACCUUAAAGAGGGCAUUUUUCUACUUCAAGUCUCCACAUCCUUAUAAUUAAAAGCUCUUUCUAAAAUGUC